AGACAGCCUGCAGCAAGGCUCAGGAGAGAUACUUCACUUUCAUUUCUGGAAAAGCAAACAGAACAAUACCAUAUUCAAAAGAUUCCCAGGAGGUCUUCUUCUGUACUUUCUGACUGCAGUCAGGUACAGGACUCUUGAAAGAUGUGAAUGACACUGUCAUAAGCAGGUGGUGGAGUCUGUCUGGGUAGGAAACCCCUUAGACUGCCCUUCCCAAGCCAGAAGGACUCCGCUGGUUCUGCACUAAAUGGAUCUGUGAUGUUAGGAAGUAAUGCAGCUUGGUUAUCAUCCUCUGUUUCAUUACUGGUCUUCUUGGUCUUUUUUGGUGGCGGCCGAAAAGUAGAGUUCUGAAAGCUAGGGCUUCUACCCAGCAGCUCAUUGGGGUCCACAGAGGUCUGUCUGUGGAGGGGCAAAACCACUCUUCCUGCAGAUUCACUGUUCUUGUCGAAGCCGUGACUCUUGUAAUGUCUGAGGUGGCAGUGCUGAUUACGUGUGCCUUUAGAUUCUAACGACUGGGUUUGACGUCUGGUGAUCCUGACUGAAGCCCUCCGUCUUGACAUCCAUGUAAGGAGGAGGAAAAUCAAGAUCCCGAUGAGCAGACCAAUUAAUAUCGACAAGCAGAACGCCAGGAUGAGCUCCUCUGGGUGGAAAGGUUAUUGUAUUUUGAGUAUAUAAUAUCAAUACUAAAAACAAUCUUAAAUACAUAUUGAAUAAUUGAGUUCAAUGUUCGCUUAAAUUUAUACACACACACCAAGAAAAAUAUAUUUUUGUUAAGUUGUAAAUAAAACAUAUUACUGGUUUUUCGACUUAA